rnacentral:rRNA from 1 species
UGAGUGGCGAACUGGUGAGUAACACGUGGGAAACCUGCCCAGAAGCGGGGGAUAACACCUGGAAACAGAUGCUAAUACCGCAUAACAACUUGGACCGCAUGGUCCGAGUUUGAAAGAUGGCUUCGGCUAUCACUUUUGGAUGGUCCCGCGGCGUAUUAGCUAGAUGGUGGGGUAACGGCUCACCAUGGCAAUGAUACGUAGCCGACCUGAGAGGGUAAUCGGCCACAUUGGGACUGAGACACGGCCCAAACUCCUACGGGAGGCAGCAGUAGGGAAUCUUCCACAAUGGACGAAAGUCUGAUGGAGCAACGCCGCGUGAGUGAAGAAGGGUUUCGGCUCGUAAAACUCUGUUGUUAAAGAAGAACAUAUCUGAGAGUAACUGUUCAGGUAUUGACGGUAUUUAACCAGAAAGCCACGGCUAACUACGUGCCAGCAGCCGCGGUAAUACGUAGGUGGCAAGCGUUGUCCGGAUUUAUUGGGCGUAAAGCGAGCGCAGGCG